AGAUUACAGCUCAGGUUAGAGCCCAGGUUACAGCUCAGAUUACAGCUCAGGUUAGAGCUCAGAUUACAGCUCAGGUUAGAGCUCAGAUUACAGCUCAGGUUAAAGCUCAGGUUAGAGCCCAGGUUAAAGCUCAGGUUACAGCUCAGAUUACAGCUCAGGUUAAAGCUCAGAUUACAGCUCAGGUUAGAGCUCAGAUUACAGCUCAGAUUAAAUUACAGCUCAGGUUAGAUUACAGCUCAGGUUAGAGCCCAGGUUAAAGCUCAGAUUACAGCUCAGGUUAGAGCUCAGAUUAGAUUACAGAUCAGGUUAGAGCUCAGAUUAGAUUACAGCUCAGGUUAGAGCUCAGAUUAGAUUACAGCUCAGGUUAGAGCUCAGGUUAGAGCUCAGAUUACAGCACAGCUCAGAUUACAGCUCAGGUUAAAGCUCAGGUUACAGCUUGGGUUAGAUUAAAGCUCAGGUUACA